rnacentral:lncRNA from 1 species
GCGUUUGUAGAAACACACACGCCCCACACCUUCUAUUUCAGUAACGAGACUGGAACCUGCCUGAGUAGUCCUGCGGCCACAGCCACCCAAGUUGCCUUCACUUACAAAGGUGGAGUCCACCAAUUAGAGAAGAAGGACAAAUGCAAAAGACAUCCCAAAGGGGUAACCUUGGGUCACCGAGAACUCUCAAACUCAAACUAUCUCGGGGCCGGUAGAACCACAAAUGGUGACAAUUCUACAGUCUCUACAGUUUCUUCCCGCCGACUCUUAGGGCGACCUGCACGCCCGGACUGUAACUGUAGCCAGAGACCCCACCACCAUCACCACCACCACGACAUCCUGAGAGCCCGGGAUGUCCUAGUCUCUGCACACUCACCCAGGGGCCACCACCUGGCCUGGCUGCGCACACAGUUCACGGACCACGCCGGCGCGCUCCGACCUGAGCCUGCGCUCGGUCCGCGCGGCGCGCACGCAGCCCCCAGAGGCCGCGCGAGCCGGUGCCGGCCCUGCGGGCUGCGCGGAGGCUGCGGUUUCGCACACUGCCAGCACCGAGCCGAUGCGCACGGUCGCGCCCGCCGCCACCUUCCACUCCAGCAGACGCAGCGGCGUGGGGCCGGGGCAGCGCACCUCUGCCCCGGCCACCGCCGGAGUGCACUCGGUGGGGACGCCGGCCGCGGGCGGCGCUUCCAUCGUGACCCAGAGAGCGGCACGGACGGUCACAACAGAGCUGUGGUGGCCACGCUUCACUGACAUCAGAUGCCGGCUUUCUUGACUUUCCAAUGUGAACUGAACACCAGGGACUUUCCAGGAGUCUUCUAGGCCAGCGGCACUAACUUGGAACUGCAGAGGCGCCCAGACUCACAAACUGAGUAGUCCCAGGCUCUCAGGCUCUCCAGCAUGGGGGCAGCCGUUGUUGGACUACAUGGCCUUUCUACUGUGGCAGACUGUGUCCCUCCCUAAAUUCUGAGCCAAAAUAAAUCUUUAAAUUGCCUCAGUCAGAUAUUUUCUUACAGUGACAAGAAAAGGGAUAGAGGAAAUUGGUGUUGAGGAGUGGAGCUGUUGCCAUGACCACAGGAGUGCAUGGUUUAUAGGACUUUGGAACUGGUUUGUGGGAGAAAGAUACAAAAAAGCAAGUAGUGAAGACGGCUACAGGGUUUCAGAGGAGAACAAAGGCCAUGCUAGGAAUGGAAUGAGAGGCUAUUCAUAUACUUUGUGGGGGAGAGAGGGGUGGUGGUGGAAAUCUGGUCAUUUUCUGCCUGCGUCCUAAAACUUGAAUGAGGCUGAAUUCAA